rnacentral:rRNA from 1 species
UGUAAUGGACAAGUUAAUAUAAAAACUCUAAAGUUAAGCGUGCUCGGUUGAGAAUAGUACUGGGAUGGGUGACCAUCUGGGAAGUUAGGUUGUGUUAUGC